AAGUCGUAACAAGGUAUCCGUAGGUGAACCUGCGGAUGGAUCAUUAACAAGUAUUCAUACUUAAUUAACACCUGUGAACUUUAAGGGACUUAUCCUCCCGCUUUUAUUAUAUUUUUAUACUGAAUACAUGAUAUAUAACAAUCAUAAAACUUUUAGCAACGGAUCUCUGGGCUCUC
rnacentral:misc_RNA from 1 species